rnacentral:lncRNA from 1 species
UGGUGUAGAGACACUAAGAUAAAGGUAUGGAUGAUUAUUAGAGAGCAACUUGCACUGAGCGUGACCAAUACGAGAACCACAUGGAUGUCUACUCACUCAUUAGUGGUCUUCUUGAUGUCGCAGUGGUAUGAGUGGUUCUUUGAACUGCGGUGUCAUUGGCUAUUCACAGUGAGGCUAAUGGAUUUGACUGCAUGUUCCCUUAGCCCCUAGCCAUUCGGAUCCUUGUUAUGU